rnacentral:rRNA from 1 species
AGUCCUGUACCUUUAUGCAAUGCGAUGGGGGGACGGAGAAGGUUAGGCAGGCCGGGUGUUGGAAGUCCCGGUUCAAGCGUGUAGGCGUGCCCGGUAGGCAAAUCCGCUGGGCUUAGCCGAGGCGUGAUGACGCAAGGUCCUUCGGGAUCCCAAGUUGCUGAGACCCCGCUUCCAGGAAAAGCCUCUAAGCUUCAGUUGCAUGAAGACCGUACCGCAAACCGACACAGGUGGGCAGGAUGAAGAUUCUAAGGCGCUUGAGAGAACUCAGGAGAAGGAACUCGGCAAAUUAGCACCGUAACUUCGGGAGAAGGUGCGCCCCGGUAGUGUGUAGCGGCUUGCCCGUGAAGCACGAUGGGGUUGCAGUGAAUUGGUGGCUGCGACUGUUUAAUAAAAACACAGCACUCUGCAAACACGAAAGUGGACGUAUAGGGUGUGACGCCUGCCCGGUGCCGGAAGGUUAAGUGAUGGGGUGCAAGCUCUUGAUCGAAGCCCCGGUAAACGGCGGCCGUAACAAUAACGGUCCUAAGGUAGCGAAAUUCCUUGUCGGGUAAGUUCCGACCUGCACGAAUGGCGUAACGAUGGCCACACUGUCUCCUCCUGAGACUCAGCGAAGUUGAAGUGUUUGUGAAGAUGCAAUCUACCCGCUGCUAGACGGAAAGACCCCAUGCACCUUUACUGUAGCUUUGCAUUGGACUUUGAUGAGACUUGUGUAGGAUAGGUGGGAGGCUUUGAAGGCGGGAUGCUAGUCCCGCUGGAGCCGUCCUUGAAAUACCACCCUGGUGUCAUUGAGGUUCUAACCUGGAUCCAUUAUCUGGAUCGGGGACCGUGCAUGGCAGGCAGUUUGACUGGGGCGGUCUCCUCCCAAAGGGUAACGGAGGAGUUCGAAGGUUCGCUAGGUACGGUCGGACAUCGUACUGAUAGUGCAUUGGCAAAAGCGAGCUUGACUGCGAGACGGACAUGUCGAGCAGGUGCGAAAGCAGGACAAAGUGAUCCGGUGGUUCUGUAUGGAAGGGCCAUCGCUCAACGGAUAAAAGGUACGCUGGGGAUAACAGGCUGAUGACUCCCAAGAGUUCAUAUCGACGGAGUCGUUUGGCACCUCGAUGUCGGCUCAUCACAUCCUGGGGCUGUAGCCGGUCCCAAGGGUAUGGCUGUUCGCCAUUUAAAGUGGUACGUGAGCUGGGUUUAAAACGUCGUGAGACAGUUUGGUCCCUAUCUGCAGUGGGCGUUGGAGAUUUGACGGGGGCUGCUCCUAGUACGAGAGGACCGGUGUGGACGCACCUCUGGUGUACCGGUUGUGACGCCAGUCGCAUCGCCGGGUAGCUAUGUGCGGAAGAGAUAACCGCUGAAAGCAUCUAAGCGGGAAACUUGCCUGAAGAUGAGAUCUCCCGGAGGCUUGACCUCCCUGAAGGGUCGUGGAAGACCACCACGUUGAUAGGCCGGGUGUGGAAGCGCAGUAAUGCGUUAAGCUAACCGGUACUAAUUGCCCGU